ensembl:lncRNA
GGAGCAUGCUAGUUAGGUACAAGUGGUCGUCUCGGUCUUCCGUUAACAAGUGCUGGAACAUGGACAUUUUGCCACUUUAGGAACCCUAAGCCUAAUCUUCAUAAAAGAUACACCUACUAGCCUACCAUGUCUGAACCAGUCCCCCGGUUUUGGCUGUAGUCUUCCAGCCGAGAGAAGUUCACAGUGGGGUCCAGAGAAGCUGGGGGACUGCAGUGAACCACUGGAAGUCAAUGUGAUUGUUAAAGAGGAAGAGAGAGAAGACUAAGAGGAAGAGAGAGAACUUAGUGGAAGAAGAGAAUGUGGUGGAGGAGAAGAAAGGGAGGAAGAGAGAGAAGACUAAGAGGAAGAGAGAGAACUUAGUGGAAGAGAAUAAUGUGGUGGAGGAGAAGAAAGGGAGGAAGAGAGAACUUAGUGGAAGAAGAGAAUGUGGUGGAGGAGAAGAAAGGGAGGAGGAGAGAAGACUAAGAGGAAGAGAUUGAAAAGGAACAUAGACAGAAGUUAGAGGUAGAGGAAUGAAAGAAGAAGAGCAGGAGACCGAAGUCAAAGAGGAGGUAGAGGAGAAAAAGUAUAUAAAAAAGUAUAUGCC